UGCCAGACUCCUACGGGAGGCAGCAGUGGGGGAUAUUGCACAAUGGGGGAAACCCUGAUGCAGCGACGCCGCGUGGGUGAAGAAGCGCCUCGGCGCGUAAAGCCCUGUCAGCAGGGAAGAAAAUGACGGUACCUGAAGAAGAAGCCCCGGCUAACUACGUGCCGGCAGCCGCGGUAAUACGUAGGGGGCAAGCGUUAUCCGGAUUUACUGGGUGUAAAGGGAGCGUAGACGGCAGCGCAAGUCUGAAGUGAAAUGCCGGGGCUUAACCCCGGAACUGCUUUGGAAACUGAGCAGCUAGAGUGCAGGAGAGGUAAGUGGAAUUCCUAGUGUAGCGGUGAAAUGCGUAGAUAUUAGGAGGAACACCAGUGGCGAAGGCGGCUUACUGGACUGUAACUGACGUUGAGGCUCGAAAGCGUGGGGAGCAAACAGGAUUAGAUACCCCCGUAAC
rnacentral:rRNA from 1 species